AUGUACUCGUCGCAGUCGCUGAGCCGCGUCAACAACAUCCGCACCUCCCUCAUCAACGCGCAGAAGGGCAACCAGAGCGCCGCCGCCUACUUCGCCUCCAUGCGCGGCCUCGCGGACGAGCUCACCGCCGCCGGCAAACCGAUCCAGGAUGACGAGCUCAUCUCGUAUAUCUUGCAUGGUCUGGAUAUGGAGUACCAGCCCCUCGUCUCGGCACUCGACGCGCGCGUCACACACCCCUCCCUCGACGAAAUCUUCUCCAUGCUCAGCAACUUUGAACAGCGCAUGGCGCAGUUCCACAGAUCGGGCGGU
rnacentral:rRNA from 1 species